rnacentral:rRNA from 1 species
ACGUAGGUGGCGAGCGUUAUCCGGAAUGAUUGGGCGUAAAGGGUGCGUAGGUGGCAGAUCAAGUCUGGAGUAAAAGGUAUGGGCUCAACCCGUACUGGCUCUGGAAACUGAUCAGCUAGAGAACAGAAGAGGACAGCGGAACUCCAUGUGUAGCGGUAAAAUGCGUAGAUAUAUGGAAGAACACCGGUGGCGAAAGCGGCCGUCUGGUCUGGAUUCUGACACUGAAGCACGAAAGCGUGGGGAGCAAAUAG